UGAAGACCCAUUGUCAUACAGACAAUGCUCUGUGAAGUGCCAUUCAUGUUCCACUUUUUGAGAUUCCCUGCACUUGUAUAAAAAUACAGUCAAAAAUAGAUCAGGAUAACACCGAAAACAAUAAAGCCUAAGGUGUUAAACAGAAACUGGAUCUAUACAGUGGAUUCAAAAAAACCUGAUCAACCUUGAGCCAGCCUCUGCUCCUGGGGGACGAAGUGCAAGGUCUAGGAAGUGAGGAUCAUAGCUGGGACUAAGCACAGCUGAGUGUCAGACAACACUGCAGUGGCUUCAUCUGGAAAUAAGUCUGGAACAAGACUGUCACAAAGCCUUAAGAGAGGGGCUGUUCCAUCAGACUGAGACCUGUGGAAGUGCUUCAGGAGUGCAGACUCUUUCCAGUGUAUACAUUUUGUAGAGACACUAAGAUCUUCUAGCAGUUAGCACUUAAUCAGUAAGAUUUCAUUAUUUAUAUAACAUUUAUUUCAAAUCUAAAAAAAAAAACAGGAACAGCUGCAAGGAAAGAAACAUUAUUUAACAUUUCAUUUCCUCUUCACCAUACACCAGCCAUCACUUGUGAUCAGAGCUGCUGGAGAAUACCUUCAAAGAACUCUUUACAAUAAAUCCAGGAAGAUGUCUUC